rnacentral:lncRNA from 12 species
CAUAUUCAGUCCAGUUCAGUUCUUACUUUUCUAACAUUACCACUGUUCAGCUUGGAUAACCACAGCUGUUAUCUUAGCUAGUAUGGAUGAUUAUUGUACACAAUAAGAAUAAAAAUGUAAUGCAGUUCUAUCAAGGACAGAUGAAUAGCACUGCAUUAUCACUACAAAUUAUAGCUGAAACACUGCGGCAAAGUUGGUUUCAUAAUCGCACAGACUUUUUGUCAAUAGUUUUCCGACUGUGGAUGCAAAAGAGUUAAUAUCAUUGACAAUGAGCUACAAAAAAAAAUUCCCUUUUUUAAAAAACAAAACAAAACAAAACACCGAUACAGGGUAGCAGAGUGUGCAGGCUUUCUAGUUAGUCUAUAACACACAGGGAGUUUAAAAUCUGAAGAAUAAUGAUAUGAAAUGUAGUUUUAUGUGAUGGCUGCAGAUGCAGAAUGUUGGCUAUUUCCCUUACUCGGCUACCUUUCAAACUUAUCAUGUUCUACCUUGAAACUGUUGUUGUCUUUACCUGUUCCAAGCAUAGACACAUGGUUUCAACUUUGUUGAUGAGUAGCUGAUAUACUUGAUGACUACUUUUUUAUUUAUUUUUUACACUUUUUGUUUGUGUGUUUCAGAUGGCAUUACGUGAUUCAGAGCCAGUUGUGCUGGUUAACAGCUCCUGCUCCUGUGUGGCUGGGAGUGGGAUGUGCAACCAUUUGGUUGCUUUGCUUUACCAGACAGCCCAUUACUACAAAUCUGGAAUGUCUGUCGUCCCUCCUGUCCUAUCAUGCACCCGAAAUAGAACGGAAGUGGCAUAAACCACGAACAAUGGGAGUGAAGCCGGGACCGGUGGAUGCCAUGGUGGUAGUGAAGCCCAAACCAGGUGCUACUUCAGCAAGUGGAAUCAGAUCUUCACUAUACAAGGCCUACAGUGGUGAGCUGCCAGACCCAUCAACACUCGACCCUAAAGCUGUCUAUGC